rnacentral:misc_RNA from 1 species
GUCGAAAUGAGUCAGCAGCCCGAAAGUGUUCGAGAAAUCACAGAUGUCCUGGAUGCUGUUGGCAACACUACGAAAGCUUCCACGAAAGGGUUCGCUAUUGGUUCUGCGGCACUUGCUUCUUUCCUGUUAUUUAGUGCGUAUAUGGACGAAGUCUCUUCAUUUGCUCAUGUCCCAUUUAAAGAGGUUGACAUAGCGAUCCCUGAGGUUUUUGUUGGUGGCUUGU